GACGGAGAUGUCAGACGGAGACAGAUACUUUUAUCUCUACUGUGUUCUCAAUGCGACAUAAUAAGAACGACCUAUUAGCGGCCUUCGAGAUCUUCGCUGACGUUAUCCGACCACCGCGGCGUAUCCUUACCAGCCUUAUCAUCUUUGGACCCGAGAAGACACCGAUACAUUUCUAUCUUCUGCGUAGCUUCGUCUAUCAGUUCAGGCUCGUAGUUAAACUCGUCUGGCAUAACAAUGUGAAAUUAUGAAACGCAAUGUAUAUUUUAGAAGACUGUUGAAUUUCUACAUUGUUUGAGAAAAAGGAUAUAACUGGAGAUUUUUACGAAGAAAAACACAUGUAAAAAACUUUCAGCAACAGACAGGGUGACUCACCGAGUUUAUCGUUUGACACGACCUUGCUAACGAGACCACAUUCGUAGGCUUCUCUACCGGAAAUAGGGAACCCCGUGAAGAGCAUGUACGACGCAUUUUUCCUCGGCACGUUGCGUACUAACGGUAUGCCCGGUGUCGAGCAAAAUAUUCCGAGAUUCGCC